rnacentral:rRNA from 1 species
AACGACGCUGGCGGCGUGCUUAACACAUGCAAGUCGAACGCGAAAGGGGCUUCGGUCCUGAGUAAAGUGGCGCACGGGUGAGUAACGCGUGGAUAAUCUACCCGAUGGACCGGGAUAACAUUUCGAAAGGGGUGCUAAUACCGGAUAAGACCACGGGCUCUUCGGGGUCUGGGGUAAAAGGUGGGGACCUUCGGGCCUACCGUCAUCGGAUGAGUCCGCGUACCAUUAGCUAGUUGGUGGGGUAAGAGCCUACCAAGGCGACGAUGGUUAGCUGGUCUGAGAGGAUGAUCAGCCACACUGGAACUGAGACACGGUCCAGACUCCUACGGGAGGCAGCAGUGGGGAAUUUUGCGCAAUGGGGGAAACCCUGACGCAGCAACGCCGCGUGAGUGGUGAAGGCCUUCGGGUCGUAAAGCUCUGUCAGAGGGGAAGAAAUGCAGGGGCGCUAAUAUCGCUUAUGCUUGACGGUACCCUCAAAGGAAGCACCGGCUAACUCCGUG